AAAGUUAUAGUCAAUUAUGACAUUUGGGUUGCAUUCAAAAAGUGCUUCAAAAGGGGCUAACUUUA
rnacentral:tRNA from 2 species